GACGAACGCUGGCGGCGUGCCUAAUACAUGCAAGUCGAGCGAAUGGAUUAAGAGCUUGCUCUUAUGAAGUUAGCGGCGGACGGGUGAGUAACACGUGGGUAACCUGCCCAUAAGACUGGGAUAACUCCGGGAAACCGGGGCUAAUACCGGAUAACAUUUUGAACCGCAUGGUUCGAAAUUGAAAGGCGGCUUCGGCUGUCACUUAUGGAUGGACCCGCGUCGCAUUAGCUAGUUGGUGAGGUAACGGCUCACCAAGGCAACGAUGCGUAGCCGGCCGGUGAGGGUGAUCGGCCCAACUGGGACUGAGGAACGGCCCAGACUCCUACGGGAGGGAGCAGUAGGGAAUCUUCCGCAAUGGACGAAAGUCUGACGGAGCAACGCCGCGUGAGUGAUGAAGGCUUUCGGGUCGUAAAACUCUGUUGUUAGGGAAGAACAAGUGCUAGUUGAAUAAGCUGGCACCUUGACGGUACCAAACCAGAAAGCCACGGCUAACUACGUGCCAGCCGCCGCGGUAACAC
rnacentral:rRNA from 1 species